UUAAGCACCAGAUUAAUUAAAAUUAUAUUUUAAUUAUUUUUAAUGGAGCACCAACUGUUUUGCGGAAGUGCAAGCCCCACUGUGGAUUCUUUUUGAUUGAAAGGAAGCUUCUGUUAUAGCUUGCACUUCUAAUUCGUACAAAAGAAAAUCUAUCAGUUUGAUAUCUAGAAAUACUCAUUCCAAUAGCUAAAAUGGAUCUGCUGUAUUUUUUUUGUCAACUAGCCCUGGAGUUCUCAUAGUUUAGACGAUUUUCAUUUCAUCUGUGUUUACAGUGUAUUCUGUAAGUGCACUUGAUCAUUUUCAAGUACAUCAAAGCUUCAAAAUAAAUGGAUGUUUUCAACCAAAGCUUUCCUCUUAAAAGCAGAAGCAGCUUAUUUGACUAAUACUCUGAUUUCAUUCGUUCAGACUCCUGCAUUGGUUUCUAGUGCAGUUACUUUUUCAGCCUUGCUCUGGUGCUCAUUCUGGUGAUUAAUUUGCUUUAUACACAGUUCCUUACCUGAAUUAGCAAAUGUUCUUCCUCAAGUGCACCUGAGCUUUGUGUCGGAAUCAUGCUGAAAAAAGUAUUCUGCUCUGAUAGAGAAAGCUAAUUUAUUUUUAAGUACUGGGCUGAUUUUUUUUUUUUUCUCUGUCAUGCCGUACUGUUUCUCUUCAGUUAUACUAGGGAGUACAAAGAACCUCAUUGGCUCUGGUUAAAAAUUAGAAAAAGUGUGUUUUUUUCCAAGGAAAACCUCACUUUUCAACAUGUCUCUCAUUCCAUUCUCUGGUAGGCUAGCUCCAUUGCUGACGUGUGAGCGCAGCAUGUGAACUCAGCACCCAGCAGCCCAGAAAAUUCAUGGUUCAUGCUCUGUAUAUGAAGUUGAAGGGUGCAAUGAAUUCCUCUAGCCUGCAGAUUAACAGUAGAAGUGUCAAGCAACCACUGAGGGUUCUUUAAUAUCUCAGUGAUGGUGCUUAACCAUUUCAGUUCCUGCUAAGCUGUCACAGCUAUACAGGUUACGGAGAGGGGAUUAGCCCUUUAAAAGGGGCACAGACGGAGUUCUGGACACAGUUUUGCUGGGUCCAACUUAAAUGCUAGUUCAGUAUCUCCUAAGAACUGCAUGUUUUUUUUAGUCUUCUCUCUUUCCCUUCACACAGCUCUUCUGUGUGAUCCCAUCUCUCCCUCACCUCUUACCACUGCAAUUCCAGGCAAAGAAAUAGCCAGCUCCCUAGCUGCUGGCUCUAGCUCAGGAGUGGAAGAUCAAGAACUGAUAGUGAUGGCUGGGUGAUGACUGGCUGCAAGUUCAAACCCCACUGGCCAUGACUUGGCUGAGCCGAGAGUCUACCAACAAAAGGCUUAAAGGUUUCCUGGUAACAAUAGCACCAAAAUAAAGAGCAGAUUUUGUCUAAGUGAAAUUCAUUCCUCCUGCCUAAAGCCCUAUGCCUAGAAUCUGCAAGAAAAAAAGCUGAAGUAAGAUGUAGAAGCUGCUAAAUUUAUGUGUAAGCACCAGGCUGCAAUCCGUGCAAGCUUACAUGAGUUAGGUACUCAGCUUCCUCUGAAAUCUAAGGAGGUGAGCACCUUUGUUCUUAAAGCCUUUUUGAAUAUUCCAGCCAAGAUGUAACAGCCUUCCAUUGUUUGCUCAGGGGCAGUAUAUAUAUAUGUAUAUGAAUAUUGCCUUGGGUAUUCAAAGCCUAUGCAAGUGAAAAGAAGAUCAUAGGGCAUGCAGCUUUUCAGCUGUGAAGAAGCAGCAGCCUUGCUGAGCCAUACGUCUUAAGAGAGGCUACUGGACCUUCUCAUAAUCUACACUUGAAUGUCUUUACUCUUGAGUGAUCUUCAGCUCAUCCAGAAAGCCAAGGCUCUGUGAAUUAAUUGUUGGCAAUCUUUGAACUGUGGGGGUUUCAAGUGAAAAAAUGGGCUUUAAGUCAGCCACAUGUGACUUGAUGUUCCACCUAACUGGAAUGCAGUUUGUGUUGAGGUAUGUUUUCUUUGGCUAUUUUUUCCUGAAAUGUGCAAUUACAAAAAAAUAAAAUAUUUACAUCAUUACAAAUGAAA